rnacentral:lncRNA from 1 species
GCGGCCGCGGGUGCUGCCGGGGGGCGCGGCGGGCGCAGCAGAGCGGCGGGCGGCGGCGGCGUCGUCGAGCGCAGACAAUACAAGCGCCUCGGACCGAGUCCCCGAACCUGCCCUAGCCAAAAUGGCGGCCGAGAAAGAGCGGAAGUGACGGUCUCACUCUGUUGUCCAGGCAUGAUCACAGCUCACUGCAGCCUUGACCUCCCAGACUCAAGUGAACCUCCCACCUCAGCCUCCCAAGUAGCUGGGACCACAGGAAAUGGACAUAUGGAACUCAUCAUUCAUUUUAAAGUAUGGUGGCCAUUGGCGGUGACAAAAGGAAAAGAAGCAAAGAGACUCAGUCCAUAAUGCUGAUUAGUUAGAAGAAAGGGCUAGGAUUGAGAAAGUACCAGGAACUUUUAAUUAUUUAAAAGAGAAUGCUGACUGUUAAUGUUUUAAAUCUUACUGUUCAAAUGUACUAAUAUGAAUUUUUACCCUUUGUGCA